GGGACCUGAACAAGGUCAUCAUCAUAGACAACUCCCCAGCCUCCUACUCUUUCACCCAGACAACGCUGUGCCUGUGGCGUCGUGGUUCGAUGACAUGGCCGACACCGAGCUCCUGGAUCUAAUCCCCUUCUUCGAAGGGCUCAGUAAAGUGGAAGAUGUCUACACAGUGCUCAGGCAACAGAGGGACUCCAGCUAGCAGUGCUGUCAGUCACCCUACCCCUCUACUACUGCCAUCUACAGGACAGACCGAGAACCGCGGCCUUAAAGCGUCUUCACACCAACCGUACACCCCCUCAGCCUACCGUCCACCAGAUCAACCACAAGACUUUCACCUCCAAGCCCACCCCUCUUCUUCAACCCUUCAGAACCACGCUAGUACUGCCCUCUAUUGGGGAAACAGAGGACUUGAUCCUCCAGAACACGAUCUACCAUCCCUCAACCACAGAUGGGCUUGUGUAGAUGGAUGUUGUGGGUUAUAAUGAGUUAGGUUUUUAUACAGUGCCUUUCAUCAAAUGUCAUUGGAACAUACAGGACAGUCAAGUAGAGGGAAUCUACAGCAGUCUUCACAAUGAAGAAAAAACAUGUCGCAGGAAGGUAAUGGGAGAGAACCCCCAGGAUCCAAUCAGAAUCAGUUCUACAACGCCGGGUUGGAGUCGAUAAGUUUCCGGAAGACCGAACAGUUCUAGAACUCUGUAUGGAAAAGCAAAUYAUAGCUGUAUGAAUGGAUAUUUACUACUUUUAACACUUUAAUGUGRUUUUUAUUUUAUUCACUUAUUCCCCAAGAGACAAUUUAAAAAAUUUAACAAGCACAGUAUUGGCUUUGUGUAAGUCAAGUGGUUUUACUUCUUUCAUCGCUCAGCUAGUAUCAUAAUGACUAGCAGAAUGGGCAUCAGUACUUGUUAAGGGGGACGGAAUCAUAGAGAAUGACAUUUAUCAGUUACUGCAGCUAUCAAAACGUUCCAUGUCCCUUAAUCGUAUUUGUUUAAUUAGUUUUUUUAUUAAAACCAUAGGAAUAUGUGCGAUAAUGUGCCAGAUAACAUUUAUACGGUUAAUGGACCCGUUUUCAUAAAUACAGUAGUCAGAUGACUGAACUGCACCUUAAAUUACAAUAUAAUCUUUUAGGAUUUUUUGGAUUACAUUGUCUGUGGACUAUGGACCUCAACCCAGACAGACUAAAUGCUCAGACACAUGGACACAGUACCAGUACCAGUCAAUGGCCUGGAAAACCAUUGGUAUUCUGCAAGAGGACCUGGAUAUGUGUUGGAAAAACAUAUUUAGAUUAUGUCCAGGCAAACUGUUGGUCGUCCCUUUGCUGCCGUAUCAACGCUACAUCCAUGGAGGAGGGCUGGGCGACUAUAGUGUGAAUACCGGUAUGGAUCUGCAUACCGCUAUAUAUUUUUACAAUAACAGAAUUUUGAUACAGUGCUAAAUUAAAUGAAAAGUUCUACAAAUUGGACUAGUUCACUGUCAGUUUUGUCCUGGUUUGGUUGAGUAUAAAACCAUCAGAAUGGAGAAAGCCCAUUUAAAAUCACAAAGAAUUUAUUUGUUGCCAUUCUAGGUCAUGCACUAAUCAUAAAACACAUUUAGACAAAAAAUAUAUUUUGGCUGUAACGCCCAGCCUUACCAUGGAGGAACGGUGUUGAGACAGUGUGUGUUAGCCAUCUGGUUUUGACAAGCACACUUCUCCCUCUUUACUGGAAAAAGUACUUGAAUACUUUCCCUUUUUGAUUACCUCUUUUUAAAGGACUGCAAAUACUAUGUUUCUUCAGACCAGAUUGUAGGAUUUGGGUAGUUUGGUUUUUAAGCUUCUGACACAAGGUAGGACUAUAUUAAUCGCUACUUACCUGGGUUUGGAACAGUUCAAUAAUAGUUAUUUGUAAGUAAAAACUAAGAGAUGGUCUAUCAGGAAGUGAACAGGAAGAGUAGUUUAAUGGAUUGAGUGAUUCGUAUUGAUUGAUACAGUUUAAUGAAUGCAUGGGGAAAAGCCACUGUGUUGGAGUUGACUAAAGGCCUACUAAAAUACCUUAUGAAAUAAGAUGAUUCAGAGUUUAAAUAACCAGUAGACACAUGAUAAAUCUAUCAGUAUUAAGAAAUAAUACAUUUUUAAUGUUUAACAUGUUUUACUAAAUUUCACAUUCCAACUUAAAACACUCACCAAGUGCCUGUGUCAAUCAAGUUAGAUACAAAAGACAAGACAUUUUUAAAAUUUGAUUCAUCUUUUUCUUUUGGCAAGUGGGUUGGCCCUUUUAGUAUUAUCCAAAGGAUGAGCAGAAAUCACUGUAGUACAAAUCCAGAAUGUUGCGGGCUCUCUAACAAUGCAUUCAUGGAUUCACACACACAAUAGGAACUGGGCGAAUCCUGGUUUGAAAUUCAAGCCACCCCAAGCCAUCUAGAUAAUGUGACAUCUAGAUACGA